rnacentral:RNase_P_RNA from 2 species
GGAGGAGACCGGGUGGUCGCCCGCGGGCAGUUAGCCGCGGGAGGAAAGUCCGGACUCCAAGGGCAGGGUGCUGGGUAACGCCCAGGCGGAGCGAUCCGACACCGGCGCCACAGAGAAUAGACCGCCGAUGGCCGAGUCGAGGCGCGUGCAGGGGACGCAACGCACGACCUCAUCUCGGCUCAGGCAAGGGUGAAACGGCGGGGUAAGAGCCCACCGCGUCUCGUGGUGACAUGGACGGCACGGCAAGCGUCGCCCGGAGCAAGACCAAAUAGGAGGACGGCCGAGACGCGACUCGUUCUCGUCUCGGGGGUAACUCGAGCCCUAGAGAAAUGGCCGCCCCCGCCGUAGCGUCGCGCGAAGGCGGGACAGAAUCCGGCUUAUAGGUUUUCUCCAGCG